ensembl:snRNA U6 U6 spliceosomal RNA
GUCCUAGCCUUGGCAGUACAUACACUAAAAUACAGAGAUUAGCAUAGCCCCUAUGCAAGGGUGACAUACAAAUUCAUGAAGUAGUCCACAUUUUA